rnacentral:rRNA from 1 species
GACGAACCGUGCGAACGUUAUUCGGAAUCACUGGGCUUAAAGCGCGUGUAGGCGGCCCGGCACGUCAGUCGCUGAAAUCCCCCGGCUCAACCGGGGAAGUGGCGUUGAUACGACCGGGCUGGAGGGGGGUAGGGGGGACGGGAACUCACGGUGGAGCGGUGAAAUGCGUUGAGAUCGUGAGGAACGCCCGCGGCGAAAGCGCGUCCCUGGACCCCACCUGACGCUGAGACGCGAAAGCCAGGGGAGCAAACGGG